rnacentral:rRNA from 1 species
GCGUGGAUUAGGCAUGCAAGUCGAACGGGAAGCUUCGAUUCAAUCUUCGGAGAGAAUUUGAGGUGGAGAGUGGCGAAAGGGUGAGUAACGCGUGAGCAAUCUACCUCGAAGUGCGGAAUAACCCCGCGAAAGUGGAGCUAAUACCGGAUGUGGUACCUCGUCGCAUGGCGAGGCUAUUAAAGGUGGGGAUCCUUCGGGACCUGCUGCUUGGAGAGGAGCUCGCGUCCCAUCAGCUUGUUGGUAGGGUAACGGCCUACCAAGGCAUACGGGUAGCCGGCCUGAGAGGGUGACCGGCCACAGUGGGACUGAGACACUGCCCAGACUCCUACGGGAGGCUGCAGUCGAGGAUCAUUCGCAAUGCGCGAAAGCGUGACGAUGCGACGCUGCGUGGAGGAUGACGGCCCUAGGGUUGUAAACUCCUGUCAUGAGGGAACAGCCGGCAAAGGGAUAAUACCCCUUCGCUCCGAUGGUACCUCAAGAGGAAGCCACGGCUAACUCUGUGCCAGCAGCCGCGGUAAUACAGAGGUGGCGAGCGUUGUCCGGAUUUACUGGGCGUAAAGGGUGCGUAGGUGGUAUCGUAUGUCGGAUGUGAAAGCACGGGGCUCAAACGCGGAGCUGCAUACGAAACUGCGGGACUAGAGUACAGGAUGGGAGAGCGGAAUUCUUGGAGUAGCGGUGAAAUGCGUUGA